CUUUCCGUGUCAUUGCAAUGAUACGCAAUUCUGAAAACAUUGAUGUAAUUUAUUGCAAAAGACUUUAAUGCGAUUUAUUUUACUAUCAAUCUGAUAAAACAAUUAGUUCAAGAAUAAAAAUCCUUAUUUCAUGAUUCAAAGGUUUAUUUUUAUAAGUUGAUCACAAAUCUUACAUAGCUUCAAUUUUUCAGUUUUUUACGAAAGCAAAACUAAGAAAAUGUAUAAAGUUAUUAUGGUCUUACUUCUUGUAACCUUGGCAACAGUUGAUGCGAAGGACUGCCAUUGUCCACCCCUUAUAUGUCCCCUAAAUGCGAGAUCUAAAAGAAGUCCUGAUACCCCAAUUUGUCCAUCAUGUCCUAACAGAAAGUGCCCUCCACUCAUGAUUAGACCAAUUGAUGAUUGAGUUUAUUUGGGAGAAUAGAAGGAACUUAAAGGCAAGUGCAAAACUCUAAAGCAGAAAAUUGAUUGCGAUAUUUUCUAACAUAUUUUGUUUAUUUUAAAAAUAAAGAAUUAUAUAGA